rnacentral:rRNA from 1 species
GAUGAACGCUGGCGGCGUGCCUAAUACAUGCAAGUCGAGCGAACAGACGAGGAGCUUGCUCCUCUGACGUUAGCGGCGGACGGGUGAGUAACACGUGGAUAACCUACCUAUAAGACUGGGAUAACUUCGGGAAACCGGAGCUAAUACCGGAUAAUAUAUUGAACCGCAUGGUUCAAUAGUGAAAGACGGUUUUGCUGUCACUUAUAGAUGGAUCCGCGCCGCAUUAGCUAGUUGGUAGGGUAACGGCUUACCAAGGCAACGAUGCGUAGCCGACCUGAGAGGGUGAUCGGCCACACUGGAACUGAGACACGGUCCAGACUCCUACGGGAGGCAGCAGUAGGGAAUCGUCCGCAAUGGGCGAAAGCUUGACGGAGCAACGCCGCGUGAGUGAUGAAGGUCUUCGGAUCGUAAAACUCUGUUAUUAGGGAAGAACAAAUGUGUAAGUAACUAUGCACGGCUUGACGGUACCUAAUCAGAAAGCCACGGCUAACUACGUG